rnacentral:rRNA from 1 species
UACGUAGGGGGCAAGCGUUGUCCGGAUUUAUUGGGCGUAAAGAGCGUGUAGGCGGUCAGGUAGGUCGGUUGUGAAAACUGGAGGCUCAACCUUCAGAGGUCGACCGAAACCCCCUGGCUAGAGUCCGGGAGAGGAGAGUGGAAUUCCUGGUGUAGCGGUGAAAUGCGCAGAUAUCAGGAAGAACACCCGUGGCGAAAGCGGCUCUCUGGAACGGUACUGACGCUGAGGCACGAAAGCGUGGGGAGCAAACAGG